rnacentral:tRNA from 2 species
GGAGAGGUGGCUGAGCGGUCUAAAGCAACAGGUUGCUAACCUGUGACUCCGUAAGGGGUCCCGUGGGUUCAAAUCCCACCCUCUCCG